rnacentral:snoRNA from 14 species
AGUAUGAUGAUAGGUUGCACAUUAUCUGAUCGUCUUUUGAGCUCGCUUUAAGUAGUAGGCUUUGAAAUCAAUUGAUCCAGGGCUUAGGCCCCCCUCUGACUA